CAGCAGCCGCGGGAAUACGGAGGGGGCUAGCGUUGUUCGGAAUUACUGGGCGUAAAGCGCACGUAGGCGGCUUGGUAAGUUAGAGGUGAAAGCCUGGAGCUCAACUCCAGAAUUGCCUUUAAGACUGCCGAGCUAGCAGGUGAGAGAGGUAAGUGGAAUUCCGAGUGUAGAGGUGAAAUUCGUAGAUAUUCGGAAGAACACCAGUGGCGAAGGCGGCUUACUGGCUCAUACUGGACGCUGAGGUGCGAAAGCGUGGGGAGCAAACAGGAUUAGAUACCCGCGUAGUCCCUGUCUCUUAUAA
rnacentral:rRNA from 1 species